GGGCGGAUGGUUUAGUGGUAUAAUUCUCCCUUAGCAUCUUCAUUCCUAAUGAAGCGCCACAUCUGGGAGAGGUCCGGGGUUCGAUUCCCCGUUCGUCCA